rnacentral:antisense_RNA from 1 species
CUUGACCGACCCCAGCACCAGCGGCCGGCCGGCGCGGCGGUCCUGCCCGUAGGUCGCCAGCAGCGCCUGCGCCUC